UGUGUAGGCGGUUGUUUAAGUUUGGUGUGAAAUCUCCCGGCUCAACUGGGAGGGUGCGCCGAAUACUGGGCGACUCGAGUGCGGGAGAGGAGAGUGGAAUUCCUGGUGUAGCGGUGAAAUGCGUAGAUAUCAGGAGGAACACCGGUGGUGUAGACGGCUCUCUGGACCGUAACUGACGCUGAGACACGAAAGCGUGGGUAGCAAACAGGAUUAGAUACCCUGGUAGUCCACGCCCUAAACGAUGCAUAUUUGGUGUGGGCAGUUCAUUCUGUCCGUGCCGGAGCUAACGUCGUUAAAUAUGCCGCCUGGGGAGUACAGUCGCAAGGCUGAA
rnacentral:rRNA from 1 species